rnacentral:lncRNA from 1 species
UUAUUUAGAACAUAAUCUUUAUUAGCCAUUAAUUAGGCGUUAGAUUUACAUAAACAAAUUCCAAUAGCUAUUAACAACUAUGUUGAGUCUUCCAAAGUCAAUAUUUUGCGGCCGAGGUCAAUGCUUUCUUCACCAGCAGAGCAUGAUUCGGAAAAACAACACUUACAAACGCCAUUAAUACAUUGGCGAAUUCCAAUUCUGCAUCUAACAGGACAAUCAUUUACUAAAACACAGUGCUCUCCCUCUCCCAUUACAGUGUCUGUGGAUUAAAAAUUUAUUAGCACAAGCAUAAUUUCAAGAAAAUAUAUAAUUCAUGAGAUAUUAAAAGUAUUUGAAUGAAUUAUGAUGGACGUAGAGCUCAUGCAAUUAAUUGUUUAUACAUUUUAAAAAGGCUAUUAUUGUUUUAUGUUAUGAUUGAAAAUAAAAUUGUGAGUGCGAGCGCACCUGCCAUUUGCAACGCAAAGCUUGUGAAAAGUCAAAAGUAGUAAUUCUUUUUUUUUUAUUUUUAAUUUUAAUUUUAUUUUUAAAAGUGCUUAUUUUAAAGAGUUGGUGUGUUAGUCAAUCUUUUAGGGAAAAAAAAUUAAGUGUUUUUGUGUAAUAGCAGAAUCCACUUUUAAAAAUUGGAAAAUUAGUUUUCACUAAGUUAAAACCACGUUUGGAACCUUGGCAAAUACAACUUACUGCUCUAAUAUUGACAAAAGUGUUUUAAAUUAAUUAACCAGCAACAAAUUAUUAUUGUCCAAAAAUAUUUUUUAUAAAAAUACUUUUAACAAUAUCCACUUUCAAAUUAAGAAAAAUUUUAAAAUUUAGCCACAGAGGUUAUUGAGUAAGAGAGACCUAGGAGGGAGAGAGAGAGAGAUAGAGACUAACCAAAUGAAAAGAUCAAUAAGGUGGCUAGCAAAAGCAAAAUCAUCGAAGCCUUAUCCAUGGUUUACAAAGGAA